rnacentral:rRNA from 1 species
AAGGUCUCCGUAGGUGAACCUGCGGAGGGAU